CUCAGGGGUCUCACUUCGUGCCACAUGCCUUCUCUGCACGCCAUCUACUGGACAGUGAGAGAAGUGCCUCUUCACUGGGAGCCCUGCUCUGGGAGCAGCUCUCAAUACCGGGUGAGGCACCGAGCACUUGAGCUAUUUCAGCCACAUGAAAAGCAUCGGGAUUGAGAUCACAGCUCGGAGGACACUGGCCGUCCUUUCCACCUUCUGAGGAGCCUUUAUUUCUGCACCUGACCGUCCAGGACUCUCCUCAGACAGUAAACAGAUCCAUAAAGCAGGCCUAAAACCGAG